GCUCAGAACGAACGCUGGCGGCAAGCUUAACACAUGCAAGUCGAACGGAUCUUAUUUAUAGCUUGCUACGAGUGAGAUUAGUGGCAGACGGGUGAGUAAUGCAUAGGAAUCUGCCCAGUAGUACGGAAUAGCCACUAGAAAUGGUGGGUAAUGCUGUAUAAUCCCCGUGGGGGAAAGAUUUAUCGCUACUGGAUGAGCCUAUGUUAGAUUAGCUAGUUGGUGGGGUAAUGGCCUACCAAGGCUGUGAUCUAUAGCUGGUCUGAGAGGAUGAUCAGCCACACUGGAACUGAGACACGGUCCAGACUCCUAUGGGAGGCAGCAGUGGGGAAUAUUGGACAAUGGGCGCAAGCCUGAUCCAGCUAUGCCGCGUGAGUGAGGAAGGCCUUAGGGUUGUAAAACUCUUUCAGUAGGGAAGAUAAUGACGGUACCUACAGAAGAAGUCCCGGCAAACUCCGUGCCAGCAGCCGCGGUAAUACGGAGGGGGCAAGCGUUGUUCGGAAUUAUUGGGCGUAAAGGGCAUGUAGGCGGUUCGGUAAGUUAAAAGUGAAAUGCCAGGGCUUAACCUUGGAGCUGCUUUUAAUACUGCCAGACUAGAGUCCGGGAGAAG
rnacentral:rRNA from 1 species